rnacentral:tRNA from 1 species
GGGAGUAGCUGGGAGGCUGGUGCCCCCCCUGGACUUCAAAUCCAGUGGCGGGCCUUAGAAGCCCGCGGUGGGUUCGAUUCCCACAUGCUCCCGCCA